GGGUGAACGCUGGCGGCGUGGAUGAGGCAUGCAAGUCGAAUGGGUUUAGACCCAUGGCAGACGAGGUAGGAACACGUAGGUACGUACCCCAAAGUCGGGCAUAAUCGGUCGAAAGAUCGGAUAAUUCUCGAUAGUCUCGCAAGAGUAAAGAUUUAUCGCUUUGGGAACGGCCUGCGGGCUAUCAGCUUGUUGGUAAGGUAACGGCUUACCAAGGCUACGACGGCUAGGGGAGGUGAGAGCCUGACCCCCACCGAUGGAACUGCGACACGGUCCAUACUCCUACGGGAGGCCGCAGUCGAGAAUCUUCCGCAAUGGACGAAAGUCUGACGGAGCGACGCCGCGUGAUGGAUGAAGUCCUUCGGGACGUAAACAUCUUUUAUGAGGGAGGAAAUUUUGACGUUACCUCAUGAAUAAGGGGCUCCCAAUUCUGUGCCAGCAGGAGCGGUAAUACAGAAGCCCCGAGCGUUACCCGGAUUUACUGGGCGUAAAGGGUGCGUAGGUGGUCAUAUUAGUCUCCUGUUAAAACUCUGGGCUCAACCCAGAGAUCGCGGGGGAAACGGUAUGACUAGAGGAUGUGAGAGGUUGAGGGAACUCAUGGUGUAGGGGUGAAAUCCGUUGAUAUCAUGGGGAACACCAAAAGCGAAGGCACUCAACUGGCGCAUUCCUGACACUGAAGCACGAAAGCGUGGGUAGCGAACGGGAUUAGAUACCCCGGUAGUCCACGCCCUAAACGCUGUCCGCUAGCUAUUAGGAGAAUCGACCCUCUUAGUGGCGAAGCUAACGCAUUAAGCGGACCGCCUGGGUAGUACGAGCGCAAGCUUAAAACUCAAAGGAAUAGACGGGGGCUCGCACAAGCGGUGGAGCGCGUGGCUUAAUUCGUAGCUAAGCGAAAAACCUUACCAAGGCUAGAAACCAUACUGCACGCCCGGCGAAAGCUGGGAAGCCUUCGAGGGUGUAUGGCAGGUGAUGCAUGGCCGUCGUCAGUUCGUGGCUUGAGUUGUUCCCUUAAGUGGGGAAACGAACGCAACCCUCGUUGCCUGUUACAAGUGUCAGGCGAGACUGCUCCCUCACGGGAGAGGAAGGUGAGGAUGACGCCAGGUCCGCAUGUCCCUUGAUGCCUUGGGCUGCACACACGCUACAAUGGGUGCUACAACGGGACGCAAUAUCGUAAGAUGGAGCAAAUCCUUAUAAAAGCAUCCUCAAUUCGGAUUGAGGUCUGCAACUCGACCUCAUGAAGCCGGAAUCGCUAGUAAUCGCGGAUCAGCACGCCGCGGUGAAUACGUUCCCGAGCC
rnacentral:rRNA from 1 species